CGUGUAGGCGGCAUUGCAAGUCGGGUGUGAAAGCCCUCAGCUCAACUGAGGAAGUGCGCCCGAAACUGCAGUGCUUGAGUACCGGAGAGGAUGGCGGAAUUCCCCAAGUAGAGGUGAAAUUCGUAGAUAUGGGGAGGAACACCGGUGGCGAAGGCGGCCAUCUGGACGGUCACUGACGCUGAGACGCGAAAGCGUGGGUAGCAAACA
rnacentral:rRNA from 1 species